rnacentral:rRNA from 1 species
UACCUUUGCCGGCGACCGGCGCACGGGUGAGUAACACGUAUGCAAUCCACCUGUAACAGGGGGAUAACCCGGAGAAAUCCGGACUAAUACCCCAUAAUAUGGGCGCUCCGCAUGGAGAGCCCAUUAAAGAGAGCAAUUUUGGUUACAGACGAGCAUGCGCUCCAUUAGCCAGUUGGCGGGGUAACGGCCCACCAAGGCGACGAUGGAUAGGGGUUCUGAGAGGAAGGUCCCCCACAUUGGAACUGAGACACGGUCCAAACUCCUACGGGAGGCAGCAGUGAGGAAUAUUGGUCAAUGGUCGGCAGACUGAACCAGCCAAGUCGCGUGAGGGAAGACGGCCCUACGGGCUGUAAACCUCUUUUGUCGGAGAGUAAAGUACGCUACGCGUAGCGUAUUGCAAGUAUCCGAAGAAAAAGCAUCGGCUAACUCCGUGCCAGCAGCCGCGGUAAUACGGAGGAUGCGAGCGUUAUCCGGAUUUAUUGGGUUUAAAGGGUGCGUAGGCGGCACGCCAAGUCAGCGGUGAAAUUUCCGGGCUCAACCCGGAGUGUGCCGUUGAAACUGGCGAGCUAGAGUGCACAAGAGGCAGGCGGAAUGCGUGGUGUAGCGGUGAAAUGCAUAGAUAUCACGCAGAGCCCCGAUUGCGAAGGCAGCCUGCUAGGGUGCGACAGACGCUGAGGCACGAAAGCGUGGGUAUCGAACAGGAUUAGAUACCCUGGUAGUCCACGCAGUAAACGAUGAAUACUAACUGUUUGCGAUACAAUGUAAGCGGUACAGCGAA